ACGGGAGGCAGCAGUAGGGAAUAUUGGACAAUGGGCGAAAGCCUGAUCCAGCAAUGCCGCGUGUGUGAAGAAGGCCUAUGGGUUGUAAAGCACUUUCAGUUGGGAAGAAAAGCUUUAGGUUAAUACCUUAGAGUCUUGACGUUACCAAUAGAAGAAGCACCGGCUAACUCUGUGCCAGCAGCCGCGGUAAGACAGAGGGUGCGAGCGUUAAUCGGAAUUACUGGGCGUAAAGCGUACGUAGGUGGUUGAGUCAGUCGGAUGUGAAAGCCCAAGGCUUAACCUUGGAACUGCAUUCGAAACUGCUCAACUAGAGUAUAGUAGAGGGAAGCGGAAUUUCUAGUGUAGCGGUGAAAUGCGUAGAUAUUAGAAAGAACACCAGUGGCGAAGGCGGCUUCCUGGACUAAUACUGACACUGAGGUACGAAAGCGUGGGGAGCAAACAGGAUUAGAUACUACACUAAGUGUCCCCCAGACUGGUGACAGUCUGGUGUGCAUCCAGCUAUAUCGGUGAAACCCCAUUGGGGUAAUACCGAGGGAAGCUAUGCUAUAUUAUAAUAUAUUAAUAAUAUAAUAAAUAAAAUAGCCCCGUAGAGACUAUGUAGGUAAGGAGAUAGAAGAUGAUAAAAUCAAAAUCAUCUUUGUCGAGUCGAUGUAAAGAAAUAAUCCUUGGUUCUGUUCUGGGAGAUGGGUCAAUAAAGAUACAUAAAGGCUAUAAGAAUGCUCGCUUUUCGUUUCGACACUCGGUAAAAUCGAGUGAAUAUUUUUACUGGAAAGUAAAAGAAUUAGAAGAGUUAUCAAGCGAUAACUGUGUGUGGAAACAAUGGAAUAGUGGCUCUUAUGCUGAAGAAAUGCUUCGAUAUCAAAGUCGAGCACUUGAAGAAUUGACCCAAAUUUAUGAAUUGGUUCAUCGUCAUCAUAAAUUAAAAAUACGAAGAAAAUGGUUGAAUAGACUUAGUCCACUUUCUUUAUGUGUAUGGUGGUUAGAUGAUGGUUCAUUGGUUGCAAAUUGCCGUCAAGGGGUGAUAUGUACAGACUGUUUUUCCUAUGAUGAGUUAUUACUCGUAGUCAAAUAUUUUAGGAAAGUAUGGAAUUUAUACCCUACCAUUGGCAAAGUAGCAAAAAGUGGACCCCGUUCUGAACAAUACCGUUUAUGGUAUCGUUCCAGAGAAGAGUUAAAAAAGUUUUUAAGGAUUAUUUUGCCUUAUGUGCCUGUCACUUCUAUGUUAUAUAAGGUACUUAUUCUUUACAAAGACCCAGAACUGCAACAACGCUGGAUCUCUGAAGUAUGUGAAUUAUCCAAAUUUGGGCAAGAAGAAAUAAUGAUUUGUCUAAAUGAGCGUAAGAAAAAAAUUGCAUACUAUAAUUAAUGAAUUAUCAGAGAAUGAUAUAGUCCAAGCCUUAUGGUAACAUGAGGGCACUUGACCCUGGUAGUCCACGCCCUAAACGAUGAGAACUAGAUGUUGGGGGAAAUUGAUCCCUUAGUAUCGCAGCUAACGCGAUAAGUUCUCCGCCUGGGGAGUACGGCCGCAAGGUUAAAACUCAAAUGAAUUGACGGGGGCCCGCACAAGCGGUGGAGCAUGUGGUUCAAUUCGAUGCAACGCGAAGAACCUUACCUGGCCUUGACAUCCUCGGAACCUCGCAGAAAUGUGGGGGUGCCUUUUGGAACCGAGAGACAGGUGCUGCAUGGCUGUCGUCAGCUCGUGUCGUGAGAUGUUGGGUUAAGUCCCGCAACGAGCGCAACCCUUGUCUCUAGUUGCCAGCGAUUAGGUCGGGAACUCUAGAGAGACUGCCGGUGACAAACCGGAGGAAGGUGGGGAUGACGUCAAGUCAUCAUGGCCCUUACGGCCAGGGCUACACACGUGCUACAAUGGGUAGUACAGAGGGUUGCAAACCCGCGAGGGAGAGCUAAUCUCACAAAACUACUCGUAGUCCGGAUUGGAGUCUGCAACUCGACUCCAUGAAGUCGGAAUCGCUAGUAAUCGCGGAUCAGAAUGUCGCGGUGAAUACGUUCCCGGGCCUUGUACAAAAUAAAUGCGCCUGGCAGUUUAUUAGACUAGGUGGUGAAAAUCCAUCUAUCCGCUUUCGGACAGCGGAUAUAGGGAAGGAUAGGACACGUCUCGUAAGGGAGUGUCUGAAGGAUCCGAAACGAAUGGUAGUCUCAGCAAAAAAUGGCGUUGUGACUCAUGUGUGUACCAUGAGGAAGCAACAAUACCGUAAGCCUGCUGGGAAUGUCAGAAAUAGCCUAAUAAAUGACCCAGGGAUAUCCUGUCGUUAAGAUAACCAAUGAUGCGACGGCAGGAAGUCAGCUGAUUCAUAGUAGCCGAUACGUCGGCAAAGGAUGAAACCUAUGAGAGAAAUCUCACCUGAGAACAUUUCGGGGUUUGUAGUAGGUGAAGGAUGUUUUUAUGUAGAAAGUGGUAAAGACUCAAAAUAUAAAUUAGGAUACAGAGUCAGAGCAGCAUUUUGCAUUGAACUAAGAGAAGAUGAUCGAGAAAUACUUGAGGCAAUUCAAAAAACUUUAGGAUGUGGCAAUAUUUACCAGCUUGAUUUUGGUAGAUAUAAAGAUUAUUCAAAAAAGAAUUGGAGACCUCAUGUAAAAUAUAGAGUGAGCAAUCAAAAUGAUCUCAUUCACAAGAUUAUCCCUUUCUUUGAAAGGUAUCCGCUUUUUGGUAAAAAGCUAAAAUCGUUUGAAGUUUUUAUCAAGAUUGUGGAUAAAAUAAAACUCAAAGAGCAUCUAACGCCAGAUGGUUUAGAAAAAACUAAGUUAUUGGUUUCUGAACUCAAAGCUCUGAAUAAGAAAGGCAUGUAGGACUCGCUGGAUGCGCUAGAAACGCUUGUCCAGUGGGAACGCGGCAAUGGUUAUAAUGACCGCAAUCACCGCCCGUCACACCAUGGGAGUGGGCUGUACCAGAAGUAGGUAGUCUAACCUUUCGGGGAGGGCGCUUACCACGGUAUGGUUCAUGACUGGGGUGAAGUCGUAACAAGGUAGCCGUAGGGGAACCUGCGGCUGGAUCACCUCCUUUAAAGA
rnacentral:rRNA from 1 species